rnacentral:rRNA from 1 species
ACGAACGCUGGCGGCGUGCUUCACACAUGCAAGUCGAACGGAAAGGCCCUGCUUUUGUGGGGUGCUCGAGUGGCGAACGGGUGAGUAACACGUGAGUAACCUGCCCUUGACUUUGGGAUAACUUCAGGAAACUGGGGCUAAUACCGGAUAGGAGCUCCUGCUGCAUGGUGGGGGUUGGAAAGUUUCGGCGGUUGGGGAUGGACUCGCGGCUUAUCAGCUUGUUGGUGGGGUAGUGGCUUACCAAGGCUUUGACGGGUAGCCGGCCUGAGAGGGUGACCGGCCACAUUGGGACUGAGAUACGGCCCAGACUCCUACGGGAGGCAGCAGUGGGGAAUAUUGCACAAUGGGCGGAAGCCUGAUGCAGCAACGCCGCGUGCGGGAUGACGGCCUUCGGGUUGUAAACCGCUUUCGCCUGUGACGAAGCGUGAGUGACGGUAAUGGGUAAAGAAGCACCGGCUAACCACGUG